AGCGAACGCUGGCGGCAGGCCUAACACAUGCAAGUCGAACGAACUCUUCGGAGUUAGUGGCGGACGGAUGAGUAACACGUGGGAACGUGCCUUUAGGUUCGGAAUAACUCAGGGAAACUUGUGCUAAUACCGAAUGUGCCCUUCAGGGGAAAGAUUUAUCGCCUUUAGAGCGGCCCGCGUCUGAUUAGCUAGUUGGUGAGGUAAAGGCUCACCAAGGCGACGAUCAGUAGCUGGUCUGAGAGGAUGAUCAGCCACAUUGGGACUGAGACACGGCCCAAACUCCUACGGGAGGCAGCAGUGGGGAAUCUUGCGCAAUGGGCGAAAGCCUGACGCAGCCAUGCCGCGUGAAUGAUGAAGGUCUUAGGAUUGUAAAAUUCUUUCACCGGGGACGAUAAUGACGGUACCCGGAGAAGAAGCCCCGGCUAACUUCGU
rnacentral:rRNA from 1 species